AGUAAAGUAGCAUAAAUAUGUACUUGGUUUAGGCUCAAGAGAUAUCGAAAUAUCGAUCUUUACUU
rnacentral:tRNA from 1 species